CGAAGGGGGCUAGCGUUGUUCGGAAUUACUGGGCGUAAAGCGCGCGUAGGCGGUGAUCUUUGUCAGAGGUGAAAGCCUGGGGCUCAACUCCAGAAUUGCCUUUGAAACGGGAUUGCUAGAGUCCGAGAGAGGAUGGCGGAAUUCCUAGUGUAGAGGUGAAAUUCGUAGAUAUUAGGAAGAACACCGGUGGCGAAGGCGGCCAUCUGGCUCGGUACUGACGCUCAGGCGCGAAAGCGUGGGGAGCAAACAGGAUUAGAUACCCUGGUAGUCCACGCCGUAAACUAUGAGUGCUAGUUGUUAGGAAGUUUACUUCUUAGUGACGCAGCUAACGCGUUAAGCACUCCGCCUGGGGAGUACGGUCGCAAGAUUA
rnacentral:rRNA from 1 species